AAAAAAACCGUUUACUUUUUUUUUUCCCCUCUCUUCACUCCCCUAAAAACCACACCAACCCUUUCAGUUUCUGUGUCUCCCAUUUCUAUAACCAUGGAGAUCCAAGAAAAGCUGCUAAAGUUGAAGUACCCCAUAAUCAUCACCCUCACUCUUUCAAUUACCCUUACUUCCCUCGUCGUUUUUGCGCCUUCUUUCCUCACCAUUUUAACCUACUUUUGGCCUCUUUUGCUCUCCACUGCUCUCUUCCUUGUUGCUGUUAUCUUCUUUGGCAAGACCUCUGCUCAUCCUGCCGGCUCUGACUCUCCGGCGGACAAGGCCGGUGAAGGCAUCCUUAACUAUGUUGCCGCCGGCCAAACCCAACUCACCGUUGACAGUUACAACAAGGCUGAGUAGGAGUUGCAACUCGUUAUCACUGGUUUGAAAGGUUCUUUUCUUAGGAGCAUUUUCAUCAUCUGUUAAGGUUAGAGAGCUUGCAGCCAUUGCCAACUUUGCCAACUUUGCCAACUUCGCCUGCUUUGCAGCAUUGGAGGCCAUUUGAGUUGAAGUGAUCCAGCAAUAAGACCUACCUGCUAGAAGCAUUACAACAUAGAAUUUCAUCAAUUUUAACAUCCUUUUUAAACAUUUAAAUAAAUUUGUAGAGCUAGAAACUAAAUAUAUAUAUAUAUAUAUGUGUGUGUGUGUGUGUGUGUGUGUGUGUGUGUGUGUGUGUCGAAACUAUCCCAAGUCCACAUGUUUGAUCUUAAAAGAUAAUUGAAAUCUACAUAUUUGUGUUUGUGCUGCA